ensembl:lncRNA
GUUAUUUCAUUAUUAGGGAAAAAAAUCACGUGAUCUAGAGGGCGCCUCCCUGUCAAGCGCAUUAAUAAUUUUCGCACAAACACUUGUAUAUGAAUAAUAAUUUACAUUUUCCAUAUGCAUUACAAAGUGAAUAUUUUUUUUUACAUGCAAUUAUCCAAAAUAAAACCAAACAAGAUUUGUAAUGAAGAUAAAAUGUAGACAAAUAAGAAUAAUUUAAAUGCGUCAAAUCUAAAAUAUGGUGUAGAGUAAAUAUAAGCACAGGCUCAUAGGCUUGACAUUUAUCCUGCUUGAAUUCGUUCUAAGAAACGCACACAUCUUCAUAAGGACUAAACUUUCAUCUGUGAAUAUUAAAUAUUUUAAUUAGCCUAAAGUGUUUUCCUUUCAUUUUCCCCGACUGCAGUCAAAUAUAACAAAACGGUGAGGCAAAGCUGACGUCUAUUCGCGAAAAUGUGCUUUGAUGCGCUUGUUUGAAAACUUGUGAUUAAAGCGCCAUUCAGCGGACAUGUAAACUUGCAAAACAUCACUAUAUUUACUUGUAAAACCAUGUCCUACAUAGGAGUUUGUUUGACCUGUUAGCCAUCUUCCAUGUUUUAGACCUCUGGCAGAGGUGUCUUUGGGGGACAUUGGUCAGCAGCACAAGAAACGUCACAGAAGUCCUCCAGCAAAAUAGAUGAGGAGGGCCUAGAACUUGCAGUUUGCCAGCAUGGUGUUCUUCUUUGUGCCCUUAAUAUGUUCAGGGGGAGGUUUUUGCUUACCCCUGUACCUCCAGAAAAAAAAUGGCUUGUAAGCCGGUGAAAUUUUUUGCUAUGGAUGUUGCGUGCAAGUACUGGCCUUACCUCCAGAGAGGGAACGAGAGAUGCCCUGAGCUUCAGGAUCUGCUCUCAAUGAAGCCAUUUCUAUCAGUGUUUCAUGCCAAAGCCCACGACUUCAAAUGUGAGGUAAAAUGGAGUGGGGCAUACCAGGAGGGGGCUGGUUUGACUCUUGGGGAGGAGGUGGAGCAAUGCAAUGCCUUCCUCUCGAGGAUUGCUGUUACGACAAAGCACAUGUCAAAAGCAGGACGCACAGACAUGCUCACAGUCAUGGCCAUGUGCUGGAAUCAGCAAAAGUUUAACAACUUGGCUUCAACACUUGCCUGCCGAUAUCAAAAGGCCACAAUAGCUCUGCAAAGACAGUUGCAUAAUUUGGAGGCCAUGAAAACUGAAAUGGCAGUUACAGAUGAUCAACUGGAGGGCUGGAUCACUGAUGUCAAUGAGUGGGCAGAAGGUAUAAAAUGCAGUUUGGUAUACUGCUUAAUGCAUUAUUUUUCUGUUCGUUGAAUUAUUGGUGAAACACAGUGUCAACUAAUGUGUCACCUGAUGGGAAGCAAAGAUAAAGUUAUUUCUGUCUAGUUUUGUGUUGUCAUAGACGCAUAGCUUAUUUUAGCAUCUUUAAAACUUUAAUUUCUUGUCAAGCUUUUAAUUGUUUGUUGCAAAUGCACAUAGCCUUGAACCUGUAGGAUACAUAGCCUUAUCCAGUAGGGUUACCACUCAGUUACAGAAAAGGUUGUUUGGGCCCACUGGCCAGAAAUUAUACUAUUUCAUGGAAUUAAGAAGCAUAUUUCCUACUUCUAUUCUGCUCAGCAACAACAUCCCCAAAUGAUGCUGAUGUUGCUGUUGUGGCCAGACGAAUUGAGGAGCUGGUCACCAAGGAGGUCCCAACGUCUUUAUAAAGACAUUGAUGGCUGCAAAGGUCGUGUCCGGAUACGCCAAAAGAUCAGGGAGGAAAAGAAAUGUUUAAUUCUGUGGUGGAUCAAUAUAACACCAUGGUCCCUAAUGCAGAAAACCUGGACUUGGACACCAUACUUUCAGACGACACCCUUUGGCCAUGGCAGCUUCCACAUGGUGAUAUGUACACAAGUCCAUUGACGUGAAAUACGUCUCGAAGUAGCACAAUGUUUUUGUUUUUUUUUAGCAAUGUUUACCCAGAUAAUCAAAGAAAACCUUUAAAUACUAAUCUUAAAAUCAACUGAUUUAUGUAUUCCAGACUCCGUAGGUCUAAGGACAAAGAGAAAGGCAUUUGACACAGUGAUGGCAGUAAGGAGACUUGAGGAGGAGAAGAGGAUUCUCAUUGCUGAGAUGGAAAAACACUGGAAAUCUCUUUGCACCGUGCAGACACUCCAAAGGAGAUGACAUCCCAGCUUUGCAGUGGGACAUCAAGUAUGUAUUUUAAGUUAUACUUGACAUGCAUUAUAUUUACCAGUAUGUUUCUGAAAGUCUGUAAUAUUUUUUCCCCGUAUAUAAGGUGAGAUGUGGGGCCUGAGUAAUGAGGGAAUCCAAGGUCUGCAGAGCUUAAUGAUGAAGAACACACAAGCCAUCAACAAAAUACUGAAGUGCAACAUCCAAUUUCCGUACAUGUGUUUACAUCAUUGUUUAGAUAACUCUCAAAAGAUCUUUUUUUCAGUCCAGUAUCAAUGAUUUCUAGAAAAAUACAUUUUGACAUGAGUUUCUUCAUGGUCGAACUCACAUGGCCUUUAGCACAGAUAAGUCUUCUCAAUAAAAUUCUUCUAAGCCCAGUAUACAGUACCUCUAACCUGCAUCUUUGAUUGGUAUGUCUUGCUGUGUUGAUAGAUAUUUGUUGCCAUUGGUCCAGGAGCUGUAUAACCACAUCAUGGAGGUUGGAGGUCUCAUAAACCCAGCAGUUAAAGGGGAUGUGUGUCGCGCAGAAAAAACUAAUGACAAUCUGGAAGCUGUGCUAAAUUGAACAUUUACCCUUAUUGUUAUAACCAUCAAUUCAAUGAUUCAAUUAUAAAAUGAUUUCGUUUUUAAGCUUAACUAUACUUGACUUAUUUUUCUUAUUUUCUGUCACAGAUUGUCCUUAUUUGUGUUAAUUGUAAUCUGUUUUUUUUCCUCUAUGUUUAUGAACUGGGACUGAAUACUCUGUAACCCAACUAAGUGAUUACCAAUAGUUAUGACAAUCAUGUAAAGUGUAACUGGAUUCUUAUUGCUUACUAUUUUCAGGCAUUUUAUAUAUUUCAUGGUGUUAAUGUGGUCAUUUUUUCCAGAUUUUGUCUCAUUUCUACAUUUUCAUUCAUUGUUUUAUGGAAUGAUAAUAAAACAUCUUUGAUCCUUAAAUAACCUUUGUAAUCUUUCUGUGUUGUCGACACACUAGAGGUCUUUGUUUUAUCUACCAUGUCAAUAUAUGUGUCACAUGCUGAUAUUUGUUUAUAAUAAUGACAGUAACUCUACCAUGGCCUUUGUGACAGUUAGGCCUACAGUUAACAUUAUUAACUUACAUACAUCAUAAAUGGUAAAAUUUGGCAUGUAAAAUCUAUGUAUCACCCAACAUAUGUGAGCAAAGUGAAAUUAAAGCUUAUACGUUCACAGACUCUGUAGCAUCCUCUGGAAAUGACAAUGUGCCAGGAAUGAUCAACGUGGUUCUUGUACUGCAUUAAAACCAAGAGCAUGCACAUUACUGAUGUCCAGCACAUGAGGAGAAGGAUAAGGGAGUGAGGUGGACAUUUUUACAUUUUACAUUUGCUAAUUAGAUUUAUUUUGAAUAUAUUGUGAUUCUUAGUACUGCAUGAAUUUGUAAUAGUAAUAGUGAAGUGUGUACAGUAGGUAGACAACCAAAAUGGAUAAUGCCGCGGCGUUAACUGCAAGUCAGUCGCGUGUGAAAUUAAUUCACGAAACUACCGCCAGAUGUCGCAAAGGGACGGAUUGCGAACUGAAUGUAAUUGUAAAAUGAGAUAAAAGGAGGAAGUAAAACAACAAUAACAUUAUGAUAUAACAUUGUAACAUCUUUAAAAAACAUUAAAAAAUGUACAGUGAGUUAAUUUCAAAAUGUAGGAUAGUUUUAGGCUACAGUCUACUCAUCAAAAAUUAAAAGAAGACCUUUACACAAAGGAU